GACGAACGCUGGCGGCGUGCCUAAUACAUGCAAGUCGAGCGGACGGAUGGGAGCUUGCUCCCCGCCCGUCAGCGGCGGACGGGUGAGUAACACGUGGGCAACCUGCCUGUAAGACUGGGAUAACUCCGGGAAACCGGGUCUAAUACCGGAUAACUCUUUCCCUCACAUGAGGGAAAGCUGAAAGAUGGCAUCUCGCUAUCACUUACAGAUGGGCCCGCGGCGCAUUAGCUAGUUGGUGAGGUAACGGCUCACCAAGGCGACGAUGCGUAGCCGACCUGAGAGGGUGAUCGGCCACACUGGGACUGAGACACGGCCCAGACUCCUACGGGAGGCAGCAGUAGGGAAUCUUCCGCAAUGGACGAAAGUCUGACGGAGCAACGCCGCGUGAGUGAUGAAGGUUUUCGGAUCGUAAAACUCUGUUGUCAGGGAAGAACAAGUACCGGAGUAACUGCCGGUACCUUGACGGUACCUGACCAGAAAGCCACGGCUAACUACGUG
rnacentral:rRNA from 1 species